AACGAACGCUGGCGGCAUGCCUAACACAUGCAAGUCGAACGAGACCUUCGGGGCUAGUGGCGCACGGGUGCGUAACGCGUGGGAACCUGCCCUUAGGUUCGGAAUAACUCCCCGAAAGGGGUGCUAAUACCGGAUAAUGUCUUCGGGCCAAAGAUUUAUCGCCAUUGGAUGGGCCCGCGUUUGAUUAGCUAGUUGGUAGGGUAAAAGCCUACCAAGGCGACGAUCCAUAGCUGGUCUGAGAGGAUGAUCAGCCACACUGGGACUGAGACACGGCCCAGACUCCUACGGGAGGCAGCAGUGGGGAAUAUUGGACAAUGGGCGAAAGCCUGAUCCAGCAAUGCCGCGUGAGUGAUGAAGGCCUUAGGGUUGUAAAGCUCUUUUACCCGGGAUGAUAAUGACAGUACCGGGAGAAUAAGCCCCGGCUAACUUCGUG
rnacentral:rRNA from 1 species